rnacentral:lncRNA from 1 species
CAGGGGCAAGUGAACCCCCAAGCUAUGAAUGUCCACAUGUUGUCACGAGAGCCUUUUCAGGCAAUGUUUUGACACUUACAACAAUGAAGAAGUUCACUCGUCCUGUGGAUCCAGAUGCAGUCAAGAAAUACUUCGCCUAAAACAAAAACAAAAAGCAAAAGCUCGCUAAGUCGAACACCCCAAAGGGCGACUUAGGCAAAAAGGAGCGUCUCGGUGGAUUGAAAACCCGAAAGGGCGAUCCAGGCAAAAGUUAGAGACAUUAAAAAAAAAAAAAA